rnacentral:siRNA from 1 species
CCCUCGUUGCUAGUUGUCUGUUGC